CUGACAGCUAUGUUCGGGGGUCAGUUCUCCUUCCACAAGUGCACUUCUGUGAUCGGGCCCAAGCCCAGCUUCUAUGCAGCAGCUUCAGCGUCUGUGGAGGUCACAUGUUUAGAAGCUCAUAGCGGAGGUGUACUUGUUUCUCACUGGGAAAAUAUGCUGAACUCUGACUGGCUACUUUAAUUCUGCAUCUUCUUCCUCCACACCUAAAUUUUACACAAAAACUCUGUAGGCACGUGAAGGACCCAAU
rnacentral:lncRNA from 1 species